rnacentral:rRNA from 1 species
GAUGAACGCUGGCGGCGUGCCUAAUACAUGCAAGUCGAGCGAACAGACGAGGAGCUUGCUCCUCUGACGUUAGCGGCGGACGGGUGAGUAACACGUGGAUAACCUACCUAUAAGACUGGGAUAACUUCGGGAAACCGGAGCUAAUACCGGAUAAUAUAUUGAACCGCAUGGUUCAAUAGUGAAAGACGGUUUUGCUGUCACUUAUAGAUGGAUCCGCGCCGCAUUAGCUUGUUGGUAAGGUAACGGCUUACCAAGGCAACGAUGCGUAGCCGACCUGAGAGGGUGAUCGGCCACACUGGAACUGAGACACGGUCCAGACUCCUACGGGAGGCAGCAGUAGGGAAUCUUCCGCAAUGGGCGAAAGCCUGACGGAGCAACGCCGCGUGAGUGAUGAAGGUCUUCGGAUCGUAAAACUCUGUUAUUAGGGAUGAACAAAUGUGUAAGUAACUAUGCACGUCUUGACGGUACCUAAUCAGAAAGCCACGGCUAACUACGU